rnacentral:rRNA from 1 species
UACGUAGGUGGCAAGCGUUGUCCGGAUUUACUGGGCGUAAAGAGCGCGCAGGCGGUCGUUCAAGUCGCGUGUGAAAGCCCCCGGCUCAACUGGGGAGGGUCACGCGAUACUGAUCGACUCGAAGGCAGGAGAGGGAAGUGGAAUUCCCGGUGUAGUGGUGAAAUGCGUAGAUAUCGGGAGGAACACCAGUGGCGAAGGCGGCAUCCUGGACCGGCAUUGACGCUGAGGCGCGAAAGCCAGGGGAGCAAACGGG